GCUACUAUGGCAUAUUGUUGUGUACCACGCUGUAAGUCGUAUCAAAGACGAGAAUGUGAUCAAGACUUGUCUUUCCAUCAAUUUCCGAGUAACCCGGACACCCGUCGCCAGUGGAUUGCCAAGAUAAGGAGAGAUGUUGGACCUUAUUUUCAGAUCACAGACAACACAAGAGUGUGCUCCAAACACUUUUCCAAGGACUGCAUAUUAAGAUCGCUUACCGGUUUGAACAAACUGAAAAACGGGAGUGUGCCGUCUUUGUUUACAUGGUGUCAGCCCAAGACCAGAAGGACAAUUCAACGCUUCCAGAGUGCUGUUGAAAGGAUACAGCAACUGGAUAGAGGGGUACAUUACUGAUAUUGAAG